rnacentral:miRNA from 1 species
CUGCACAGCUCGGGGGGCACCCGGUGGCAGGAGCGUCCUAGCUGUCCUGUGCCCUCUCGGCCUCCACCUGUCCCGAGGGGAGCGCAGGAUCCUGGGCUGUGUCCCCCGCGCCCUGGGAUCCGGGGCCUGCGCUGCUGG